GGGGUAGAGGUGGCAGCACUGUCAGAGAAACCAACUUGCUGAGAAGGCGUUUGCAUUUCAAAGAGUUCAUUCAAAAAGUCAAAGGAAGCAUAUUUUAUGAUUCCUGAAAAUGAGGAGUGUCUCCAAGAGCAUCCUAGACCAUCAACCCCCAGCAGCCUCAGUGGUGGACAAAGAUGGAGGUGUGCAUGGCUUGCAAGCGCGGACCUUGUGUCCCCAUUCCCCUCUGUGAGCAUUUAACCCAGCACACAGGCUGAACCACACCAGCACAAAUACAUCAUUGUGUAUUUUCAAUUAGUUUGCACUCUCCCUAGCUGCUGUCCUGGAUAAUUAGGGAAGCAAUUCACAUUGUGCCAAGAGCUGAUCCGAAGUGGUAUGCCUGGGAUAAUUAUCUGUCUGCAGUUCGGCUUCCUGGGCUCCUCCC